CUUGCGGCCAUAUCACAUUAAAAUACAGGUUCCCGUACGAUCGCCGAAGUUAAGCAACGUUCUCCCUGGUCAGUACCGAGAUGGGUAACCUAUUGGGAAUACCAGUUGCUGUAA